CAACCCUUAAGCCCUGUUGCUUAGUGUUGGGAGCCUACCGCCCCGGUAGCUCCCCAAAGUUAGUGGCGGGGUCGGUUCGCACUCUAGACGUAGUAGAUUUAACUUUCAUCUCGCCUGUAGUGUGUCCCGGUCCUCUGCCGUAAAACACCCCCCUAUAUCAAGG
rnacentral:misc_RNA from 1 species